AGGGAGGAGCGGCACGAGCGGGCUGCAAAGGGGCGGGAGCGGAGAACUUUCUAGAGAAGCGGUUAAACGGGUUGAGGCUCUUGGACUGAGGGUACUGGAGUGGUUUGGUUUUUUUGUUUGUUUGUGUCGUUUUUGUUAAGAUUUGCUUUUCUGGUUGAUGGCCCCUAGGAGUGCCCUCCUCUCCUACACCAGGACCUCUGGGAUCACAAUCUUCCCUAUGUCGUUCCGCCCCACCCCCACCCUUACCCCACCCCUCUGACCGCGUCUAAGCGAUUUUUCCAGAUCCUUCUCUAUCCUCAGGACUCCAAGUGGCGAGCCUCCCAAGUCCGGGCCUGCCUCGUGGCCGGCCCUGCUCACCCAGGCCCACAGCGGAAUAGCUGGAGACAGGCAGUCAGAUGUGAAGUGGCAAAGAUCGGCCUCCCGUGAUUGUGCCACAGAUGCCCAUGGUUCCAGGCGUGGGCACCUGAGCAGUGUGGGAAAGAGAGGUCGAGGGAUUGAAAGUGUGGGCCCCGGAGGGACAGUUUCAGCCCAGGUGCACAGAUCGGACACAACUUUGCCCUCCCUGCAGCCUGGCAGGCCCACCGCAAAAAUGCCAUGAGCAGAUUUAUAAGAGCCAUAGACUUGUAAGUGGAGGUGAAUAGGAAGGAAGGUUUUCUCAACCUGCUCGCUGCUCCUAUGAGAUGCCUGUGGAGUUCUGAGUCUGUGUGGCUAAAACCAUGAAGUUCUGAUUACCUGUGCUGGCUUGAUGGAAGAUCUGUCUGGAGAGGUCCUGACUCUGCCCAGCAGUUUAGUAGCCCAGUUAUACAGCCUGNNNNNNNNNNNNNNNNNNNNNNNNNNNNNNNNNNNNNNNNNNNNNNNGGCCUGGAGCAGAGUGUCUAAGUUUAAAAUUUUCAUCCGCAAAUGGACCCCGGUAAAUACUGGCGACUCCAGUGCCAUCGCCAUUAACAAAAUCUCCACCCUGAAUCAUGAAAUCCUUUAUGACUCUGUGGAAGGUGCUUCCUUUGUAUCCUAUUGGAACGCCAUCUUUUCUGAACUCUCCGGUGCAGAAUUGCCUAAAGUUCUCUGCCGUCUUAGGCACCACGUCUGCAAAGAGCUCGAUCUUCAUGCGACCAACUUCCUGGCCGCCAAUGCUGACAUCGAAGAAGACCACUGGAUGGACUGGACUUGAAUUUGCCACUGCCAUGGCUUUGACCCGGAAAUCGGAAGACAUACUUUUAAUCUGGGCCACACCUUCUGUAGGAAGCCUAUAUAAGGACAAUGGGAGGAGGAAGUUUUAGUCCUUGGCCUGCUUGCCCUAACCUUGCUAGCACAUCCAUUUCUGCGCUGGCAUUGGAACCUACUUCUUUGGGAUUUCAGCAGAUACAGGAGAUGAGCGGAAACACCCAGGCUUAUGGGACUGAGCAACUAUUGGAUUCUUGGACUUCCCAAUCACAGCUAACCAUUGUUGGAUUAGUUGGACUUGCAGUACAGCAUCCCAGAAGCAACAACAAUAUGUCACUCAUUUGACACGCAAGUAUCUGAGUGAUGACCACUGCUGUACUGUCUUCCAUGGGGAGUCUACUUCCAUUCACCGGGACUAGGUGAGGGAGGGAGGAGAAGGAGGAGUCAAGCAGAGUCCAACCCAGUUCUUAAAGGACUUGACCUAGGAGGAGUCACUAUGGGAUCUAGCCUCCCUUCUAACCUUAUAACUGGGAGUUGGAUUUUGAGAUAUUAGGAAAAAGUAAAUAAAAUCCAUGAAGCAGCCCUACACUCUGUCUGGUCACAGAGCCAUUGCUUGUGGAGACAAUGGCAGGGGACACUUCAUGCCAGUGUCACAUCUGAGGAACUCCCGAAGCAGAAUGAGACCAGCAUCCCUCGCAAGAAUAGGAAGAGGCCUAAUCUAUAGGAACCAAGGGAUGAGAAAUGAAGACAAAAAAAUGUAGACAGAGGUCACAUUCAGGUGAGCCUAGGCUAACCUGGCCACAGAAACUCUUUUGUUGCUAUUGCUUGUUUUGUUUUGUUAUUUUAAUCCGGGGACAAGGCUCUGGCCUUGUCUGUACCCUAUGACCACAGGCCCUGGUCACAUGAGACCCGAACAGAGGAUCACAAGAUCCGAUGUAGUUGAGGUGUGACCACAUCAAAGCCCGCAGUGAAGUGAGAACCAAGUGACCACAGCCUUGUUCACACUUGGCUCCCCACAGCCUUUCCUCUCCUCUCUUGACACACAUUUAGCCUCGCAGGCUCACCUCAGGCUCUUGGGGGUUACCUAAUGAUGGCGUUUGCUUCUUCCAUCAAAUUUUAGGAAGUUCCUCCUUUAGUCAACCCAUCAAUCUCCCAGAUCAAGAAUUUGGAAAAACGAGUUUAUAUUCAGAUUCUUACUUUUAGUAAGGAAAGACCUGCAGCUAAGGGCACCAUGAAGUUGAUUUGGCAUGGAGACACAUCCCUGCUGUGUCUGUACUGGAGUAGGCUGGCUGGUUGUGGGAGGGGUCACAGAGAACACGGGACGGCAGAGGUAGGUUCUGGAGGGCAGAGGUAGGCUGGUCUCGCCAGUUCUUCAUGUCAUGUUGUGGACACACAGAUACUUUCAGACAUUGUUGCUAAAAGGGGAAUCUGGGGCUUCCUGGAGUGACAAGGGAGUGACCUGGACAUGUUUUGUGCUUCUCUGGCUCACAGUCAUGAGACAGCCGUCCCGUGCUACAGAAGGAGUCAUGAACAUACUCAGGGAAGUCACCAUAGAGGUGACAUCGCCAACAACCCAUCUCUCACUCCAUAGAGGUGACAUCGCCAACAACCCAUCUCUCACUUCAAAGGUUCAAAUCUGAGAAUCCUUGUGACCAGUCAUGUCCCUUUGUCCUGUAAGACCCCCAAAGCUGGGCCUCUGCUCAAGUCCCGGGAUGAGCUGGCCAGCACCCCAAUAACCCGAGAGAAAACCACACCUGAUGCAAACUGCAAAAGGUUUUAUUAUCAGCUAGCUGAGGACGAAGUCCCUCUGCAGUGCAGGGGAGUUCGACCCCAAGCGGUGACAGUAGGGGACUUUUAACAGCUAGCUGAGGAAUUGGGAGGAGUUGGGAGGAGAGUUCUUCUCUUCCGGGUGUCCUUGGUGAACUUUACAAGGUAGGAGUGGGGAGUGAGUUCUUUCUGAAUUUUUAUCUCUGUGUCCUCAGCACAGGAAGGCAGGCAUCUCUGGUUGUAAAGUAUAGAANNNNNNNNNNNNNNNNNNNNNNNNNNNNNNNNNNNNNNNNNNNNNNGAGAGAGAGGGGGG
ensembl:antisense Gm10069 predicted gene 10069